GUUAUACAUCUCUACCAUUACCUAGCCUGAAAAGCCACCUCAGAUUCAGCCAACAAGUAAGUGGGCAUUACAGGAGAAGGGUACCUUUCACAAGGGCUGUAAUCUAAAAUCUUGGGGAAGAUACAGCGUCAUCUGUCCAAGAGGUGUCAGCAGUAACGAAGCCUCAGUAGAAGCCAAAGUUAUUUUGGAUUACUGAGCCUGUAUAGUUUCCAGAUUCUCAAGAGAAAUAUAUGGGAAUGUAGAUAUCUCAGAGGACCUUCCUGCUGUCAGGAAUUCAGAGGAGGAAAUAAGGAAGGUAAUAGGUGCUCUGCUCUCAUUCUCUCAAACCCUCUUCCCUGUGUUUUCCUAUAGAGAUUGCUGAUUUGCUCCUUAAGCAAGAGAUUCACUGCUGCUCAGCAUGGCUCAGACCAACUCAUGCUUCAUGCUGAUCUCCUGCCUGAUGUUCCUGUCUCUGAGCCAAGGUGAGAUUGUUUUCCCCACACAUACCUCCCACAACCCCAGCCCUGAAGCCCUCACUCUAUCCUCAUGCAUAUGAGUUCACUUGAGAAAAAGCAGAGUCAAGUUCAGGGGUUGUCUUGUGUUGUUCAGUGAUAUUUAUUGCUGAUCUCAUCCCAUUCAAAAACAUCCUGACCUCCCUAAGGAGUUAGAGAUGGAACUUAGCAUAACCCUUUAUCAGUGACCACUGCAGUUGGCAUUGGUUUGUCAUAUUAACACUACUCAUGAUGGGGGGGUUGAGGAUGUCUGUUUGUAGACAGUCAUUAGUGGAAUGGGGAACUGAGGGGAGCUUUGUGUGUAGAGAAACUGGACAGGCUUGAGAAAGAAGCCUCAGUCCUUCAAGGAAGAAAAAGCCAUAAGUAAAAGGGACAAUGGGGACACUUUUCAUGAGCCUAUUCAUUGUGUGCUCUUGUCUUGAGCAAAGACAUCUUGAGAGCCUAUAGGUAAGAUGCAGAAGGGCAGAAGUGACCAAUCGCUUCGUGACCUAUAGGAUCCUUCUAUUCCUAUAAAGAAUCCUCAGAAGCUCCUACCUCAUAUUUUAGCCUUUACCUUGCCCUGAGGGUCUUUCUUAAUUGUCUCUCUUUUCCCAGGACAGGAGGCCCAUGCUGAGUUGCCCAAGGCCCAGAUCAGCUGCCCAGAAGGCACCAGUGCCUAAGGCUCCCACUGCUACUACUUUAAUGAAGAGCAUGAGACCUGGGUUUAUGCAGAUGUGAGUGAGGAGAGCAGUGUGGGAAGGGAGGCUCACGAAGGGAGGGGAAGCUGCCACUCUCCAGUGUGUUCAGUGGCUGAUAUGAGAUGAGACUAAUCCCCUCCCUAUCCAAUCAUCAGCCCAAAACUUUCCAAUCUACUUUAUCCCAUCAUUCAGCACAGAGAUGCUGGUGGUCAGUGACAGCAUCAUCAGGGACAUUUCUGUGCUGUCCUUUUUCUGUUACAUCCUCUGGGAGGGCUCAAUAUGUCUCCCACACUUUCCUCCUUCACUGAGUGCUCCAUUUUCUUCUCCAACAGCUCUACUGCCAGAACAUGAAUUCAGGUAACCUGGUGUCUGUGCUCACCCAGGCUGAGGGUGCCUUUGUGGCUUCGCUGAUUAAAGAGAGUGGCACCAAGGAUAGCAAUGUCUGGAUUGGCCUCCAUGACCCCCACCGGAUCAGUCUGCUGCAUCUUCUACCUCCUGAUUAUCAGGUUCCAGAGGGUCUGAUGUCUGGCACCUCAAGCAUCAGUUUUUACUAUAUUAUGAUAAAAGCAACCUCUCUAUAAAUCAUAUAAUGUAAAGGAUAUCAAGGUUCUCCAUAGGUUCUUCGAGAUAAGCUUAAAGCUGAAUUUCCUGUGUGUUUCAGGCAUUCACAGAUAAACUCAUUCUCUGUACUUCUAGGGUAGCAUCUUUAUGUAUCUAUUAUGUACCUCUUAUCUAUUGUGUUAUCAUCUCUGUUAUAGAAGAGCCUUCUGUAGACCAUAUAGAAAAAGAUUAUAGAGGAGGAGAAUCUACUGCUGGCAAUUGGGAACCGCAAGGUAUACUAAAUAAUAUAUCAACAACUAAUGGCCAUCUAAUGCUAUGCUGGAUAUGAACUUUUGGGGCCUCAGGAAAGAAAAACCAGGAACUAGUUUCAAUAAUGAGGUGUCAUGGUUCCCUGUGGCAAAUUUAGAACACUUAUCGUUUGGCAGGACACAGAGAGGUAGGUGAACAUUCCAGGAAAGAAGCAGCUUAGAGAAAAUGUGGAGGAAAUAAUAUGACACUUAGAGAAAAAGGAAGGUUUAUUCUUGUCUUAUGUCUUGACCUGUUUCUGAGUGCGAACACAAACCAGGUGUUUCUGUCUCUUUCUGAGUCACGUCUGCCCCUGUUCUGGCCCUUCCCCAUCUAGAACUGCCAUUAUCAGUGGAGUAGUGGGUCCCUGGUCUCCUACAAAUCCUGGGACAUUGGAUCCCCAAGCUGUGCCAAUACUGCCUACUGUGCUAGCCUGACUUCAAGCUCAGGUGAGAGGCACAGAAUCCACACACUUAUUGCCAUCCUCUCCUAUUUAUCUCUGAGGAUCGACCGGGGACUGGGAUAGAGGAAGGGUGAGCUCCUCAUUCAGGAAAUAGAGGAGUGUUUCCUCUUUAUUUUUGCUGAGUCCUGCAGCCAGGAGGGUAAUACACUCUGAUCCCCUCAGUCUGAAUCUUCUCAUUGUCUUAUAGGAUUCAAGAAAUGGAAGGAUGAUUCUUGUAAGGAGAAGUUCUCCUUUGUUUGCAAGUUCAAAUACUGGAGGCAAUUGUAAAAUGGACGUCUAGAAUUGGUCUACCAGUUACUAUGGAGUAAAAGAAUUAAACUGGACCAUCUCUCUCCAUAUCAAUCUGGACCAUCUCUCCUCUGCUAAAUUUGCAUGACUGAUCUUUAGUAUCUUUACCUACCUCAAUUUCUGGAGCCCUAAACAAUAAAAAUAAACAUGUUUCCCCCAU
rnacentral:lncRNA from 1 species